CCAAAAUACGCGUAGAUGGCUUCCUUCUCCUACAAUCUUCUUUCAUUAUCGCAAAAUAGCGAUGAUGGCUAUUGAAUAAACCCUAGAUGAUGGCUAUUGAACAAACCAAACAACCCAGGGAAGCAGGUUAUGUGCUUGAAGAUAUGCCUUACUUAACUGAUCCACUCAGGCAAGCUUUUUAUGUAAUGAAUUUAAUUUAUAAGGAAUUGAAAUUUGUGGCAGAUUAUUAGUUUAUAGUAUGUAGCAGUUGAAUUCUUUUUU